rnacentral:rRNA from 1 species
CCCUUAGAUGUUCUGGGCCGCACGCGCGCUGCACUGAUGCAUUCAACGAGUCUAAAACCUGGUCUGAGAGGGCUGGGUAAUCUUUUGAAAGUGCAUCGUGAUUGGGAUAGAUGAUUGCAAUUCUUCAUCUUCAACGAGGAAUGCCUAGUAAACGCAAGUCAUCAGCUUGCAUUGAUUACGUCCCUGCCCUUUGUACACACCGCCCGUCGCUCCUACCGAUUGAACGAUCCGAUGAAAACUGUGGAUUGAGAGUCUGAGUGGGUUCGCCUACCUCAACUUUCGAGAAGCGGUUUAAAUCUUAUCGUUUAGAGGAAGGAGAAGUCGUAACA